rnacentral:tRNA from 1 species
GGAGCGGUGGCUGAGUGGUCGAAAGCGGCAGUUUGCUAAACUGUUGUACUAGGUAACUGGUACCGAGGGUUCGAAUCCCUCCUGCUCCG